rnacentral:rRNA from 1 species
UACGGGGGGAGCAAGCGUUGUUCGGAUUUACUGGGCGUAAAGGGCGCGUAGGCGGUAGCACAAGUCAGUUGUGAAAUCUCCGGGCUUAACUCGGAAAGGUCAACUGAUACUGUGCGACUAGAGUGCAGAAGGGGCAACUGGAAUUCUCGGUGUAGCGGUGAAAUGCGUAGAUAUCGAGAGGAACACCGGUGGCGAAGGCGCCACUCUGGGCCGAAACUGACGCUGAGGAGCGAAAGCGUGGGUAGCAAACAGG